AGCAAACACAAGUAUUAAAGGUCCCGCCUGCCCAGUGAAACUUUCAACGGCCGCGGUAUUCUAACCGUGCAAAGGUAGCGUAAUCACUUGUCUUCUAAAUAAAGACCAGUAUGAACGGCUAAAUGAGGACAAGCCUGUCUCUUAUAACUAAUCAGUGAAACUGAUCUUCCAGUACAAAAGCUGGAAUAAAAACAUAAGACGAGAAGACCCCGUGGAGCUUAAAACAAAGCACUAACUAAUUAAAGUCCUAGUACCCUGUUUUAAGUUGGGGCGACUUCGGAAUAAAACAAAACUUCCGAGCACAGAACCACCAGUUCCUACCAAGGCCAACAAGCCUAAGCAUAAGACUGACCCGGCCCCCGCCGAUCAACGAACCAAGUUACCCCGGGGAUAACAGCGCUAUCUUCUUCAAGAGUCCCUAUCAACAAGAAGGUUUACGACCUCGAUGUUGGAUCAGGACACCCAAAUGGUGCAGCCGCUAUUAAAGGUUCGUUUGUUCAACGAUU
rnacentral:rRNA from 1 species